rnacentral:rRNA from 1 species
CCUACGGGCGGCAGCAGUGGGGAAUAUUGCACAAUGGGGGAAACCCUGAUGCAGCGACGCAGCGUGAGUGAAGAAGUAUCUCGGUACGUAAAGCUCUAUCAGCAGGGAAGUAAAUGACGGUACCUGACUAAGAAGCCCCGGCUAACUACGUGCCAGCAGCCGCGGUAAUACGGAGGGGGCAAGCGUUAUCCGGAUUUACUGGGUGUAAAGGGAGCGUAGACGGCAGCACAAGUCUGGAGUGAAAUCCCGGGGCUUAACCCCGGAACUGCUUUGGAAACUGGGCGGCUGGAGUGCAGGAGGGGUAGGCGGAAUUCCUAGUGUAGCGGUGAAAUGCGUAGAUAUUAGGAGGAACACCGAUGGCGAAGGCAGCUUACUGGACUGUAACUGACGUUGAGGCUCGAAAGCGUGGGGAGCAAACAGGAUUAGAUACCCUUGUAGUC